GUAGUACUUUGAUGACUUCAAGUGUGCUACUUACUCAAGAUCUAAGUUGGAUGAACUUAAGGAGGAAUGGUGUCAAUUCAUGAUUGAGUUGAAAGUUGUAUAGGAUAUUGAAGGGUAAAAAGGUUACAGUUGCUGGCAAGAAGAAAAAGUAGAUAUUUAGCAUCCUUUUGACUUGUGUAAAAAAUAACAAUGUUUUGGAAGAUGCAAUUGUUUUCAUUGAAUUGGAUGUAA